rnacentral:rRNA from 1 species
GGGUUGUGAGGUUAAGCGACUAAGCGUACACGGUGGAUGCCCUGGCAGUCAGAGGCGAUGAAGGACGUGCUAAUCUGCGAAAAGCGUCGGUAAGGUGAUAUGAACCGUUAUAACCGGCGAUGUCCGAAUGGGGAAACCCAGUGUGAUUCGUCACACUAUCGUUAACUGAAUACAUAGGUUAACGAGGCGAACCGGGGGAACUGAAACAUCUAAGUACCCCGAGGAAAAGAAAUCAACCGAGAUUCCCCCAGUAGCGGCGAGCGAACGGGGAGCAGCCCAGAGUCUGAAUCAGCUUGUGUGUUAGUGGAACGGUCUGGAAAGUCCGACGGUACAGGGUGAUAGUCCCGUACACCAAAAUGCACAGGUUGUGAACUCGAAGAGUAGGGCGGGACACGUGGUAUCCUGUCUGAAUAUGGGGGGACCAUCCUCCAAGGCUAAAUACUCCUGACUGACCGAUAGUGAACCAGUACCGUGAGGGAAAGGCGAAAAGAACCCCGGCGAGGGGAGUGAAAAAGAACCUGAAACCGUGUACGUACAAGCAGUGGGAGCACCUUCGGGUGUGACUGCGUACCUUUUGUAUAAUGGGUCAGCGACUUAUAUUCUGUAGCAAGGUUAACCGUAUAGGGGAGCCGCAGGGAAACCGAGUCUUAACUGGGCGUUAAGUUGCAGGGUAUAGACCCGAAACCCGGUGAUCUAGCCAUGGGCAGGUUGAAGGUUGGGUAACACUAACUGGAGGACCGAACCGACUAAUGUUGAAAAAUUAGCGGAUGACUUGUGGCUGGGGGUGAAAGGCCAAUCAAACCGGGAGAUAGCUGGUUCUCCCCGAAAGCUAUUUAGGUAGCGCCUCGUGAAUUCAUCUUCGGGGGUAGAGCACUGUUUCGGCUAGGGGGUCAUCCCGACUUACCAACCCGAUGCAAACUACGAAUACCGAAGAAUGUUAUCACGGGAGACACACGGCGGGUGCUAACGUCCGUCGUGAAGAGGGAAACAACCCAGACCGCCAGCUAAGGUCCCAAAGUCAUGGUUAAGUGGGAAACGAUGUGGGAAGGCACAGACAGCCAGGAUGUUGGCUUAGAAGCAGCCAUCAUUUAAAGAAAGCGUAAUAGCUCACUGGUCGAGUCGGCCUGCGCGGAAGAUGUAACGGGGCUAAACCAUGCACCGAAGCUGCGGCAGCGACACUAUGUGUUGUUGGGUAGGGGAGCGUUCUGUAAGCCUGCGAAGGUGGCCUGUGAGGGUUGCUGGAGGUAUCAGAAGUGCGAAUGCUGACAUAAGUAACGAUAAAGCGGGUGAAAAGCCCGCUCGCCGGAAGACCAAGGGUUCCUGUCCAACGUUAAUCGGGGCAGGGUGAGUCGACCCCUAAGGCGAGGCCGAAAGGCGUAGUCGAUGGGAAACAGGUUAAUAUUCCUGUACUUGGUGUUACUGCGAAGGGGGGACGGAGAAGGCUAUGUUAGCCGGGCGACGGUUGUCCCGGUUUAAGCAUGUAGGCGGAGGUUCCAGGUAAAUCCGGUACCUUUUAACGCUGAGGUGUGAUGACGAGGCACUACGGUGCUGAAGUAACAAAUGCCCUGCUUCCAGGAAAAGCCUCUAAGCAUCAGGUAACAUCAAAUCGUACCCCAAACCGACACAGGUGGUCAGGUAGAGAAUACCAAGGCGCUUGAGAGAACUCGGGUGAAGGAACUAGGCAAAAUGGUGCCGUAACUUCGGGAGAAGGCACGCUGGUGUGUAGGUGAAGUCCCUGCGGAUGGAGCUGAGACCAGUCGAAGAUACCAGCUGGCUGCAACUGUUUAUUAAAAACACAGCACUGUGCAAACACGAAAGUGGACGUAUACGGUGUGACGCCUGCCCGGUGCCGGAAGGUUAAUUGAUGGGGUUAUCCGUAAGGAGAAGCUCUUGAUCGAAGCCCCGGUAAACGGCGGCCGUAACUAUAACGGUCCUAAGGUAGCGAAAUUCCUUGUCGGGUAAGUUCCGACCUGCACGAAUGGCGUAAUGAUGGCCAGGCUGUCUCCACCCGAGACUCAGUGAAAUUGAACUCGCUGUGAAGAUGCAGUGUACCCGCGGCAAGACGGAAAGACCCCGUGAACCUUUACUAUAGCUUGACACUGAACAUUGAGCCUUGAUGUGUAGGAUAGGUGGGAGGCUUUGAAGCGUGGACGCCAGUCUGCGUGGAGCCAACCUUGAAAUACCACCCUUUAAUGUUUGAUGUUCUAACGUUGGCCCCUUAUCGGGGUUGCGGACAGUGUCUGGUGGGUAGUUUGACUGGGGCGGUCUCCUCCCAAAGAGUAACGGAGGAGCACGAAGGUUAGCUAAUCCUGGUCGGACAUCAGGAGGUUAGUGCAAUGGCAUAAGCUAGCUUGACUGCGAGCGUGACGGCGCGAGCAGGUGCGAAAGCAGGUCAUAGUGAUCCGGUGGUUCUGAAUGGAAGGGCCAUCGCUCAACGGAUAAAAGGUACUCCGGGGAUAACAGGCUGAUACCGCCCAAGAGUUCAUAUCGACGGCGGUGUUUGGCACCUCGAUGUCGGCUCAUCACAUCCUGGGGCUGAAGUAGGUCCCAAGGGUAUGGCUGUUCGCCAUUUAAAGUGGUACGCGAGCUGGGUUUAGAACGUCGUGAGACAGUUCGGUCCCUAUCUGCCGUGGGCGCUGGAGAAUUGAGGGGGGCUGCUCCUAGUACGAGAGGACCGGAGUGGACGCAUCACUGGUGUUCGGGUUGUCAUGCCAAUGGCACUGCCCGGUAGCUAAAUGCGGAAGAGAUAAGUGCUGAAAGCAUCUAAGCACGAAACUUGCCCCGAGAUGAGUUCUCCCUGAGACUUUAAGUCUCCUGAAGGAACGUUGAAGACGACGACGUUGAUAGGCCGGGUGUGUAAGCGCAGCGAUGCGUUGAGCUAACCGGUACUAAUGAACCGUGAGGCUUAACCUUACAACGCCGAAGCUGUU